GAGGAGCUCGCGUCUGAUUAGCUAGUUGGUGGGGUAAAGGCUCACCAAGGCAUCGAUCAGUAGCUGGUCUGAGAGGACGAUCAGCCACACUGGGACUGAGACACGGCCCAGACUCCUACGGGAGGCAGCAGUGGGGAAUUUUCCGCAAUGGGCGAAAGCCUGACGGAGCAAGACCGCGUGAGGGAAGAAGGCUCUUGGGUCGUAAACCUCUUUUGUUAGGGAAGAACACAAUGACGGUACCUAACGAAUCAGCCUCGGCUAACUCCGUGCCAGCAGCCGCGGUAAUACGGAGGAGGCAAGCGUUAUCCGGAAUUAUUGGGCGUAAAGCGUCCGCAGGUGGCUAUUCAAGUCUGCGGUCAAAGACUGGGGCUUAACCCUGGAAAGGCCGUGGAAACUGAAGAGCUAGAGUGCAGUAGGGGUAGAGGGAAUUCCCGGUGUAGCGGUGAAAUGCGUAGAGCUCGGGAAGAACAUCGGUGGCGAAAGCGCUCUGCUGGACUGCAACUGACACUCAGGGACGAAAGCUAGGGGAGCGAAUGGGAUUAGAUACCCCAGUAGUCCUAGCCGUAAACGAUGGAUACUAGGUGU
rnacentral:rRNA from 1 species